UACGGAGGAUCCGAGCGUUAUCCGGAUUUAUUGGGUUUAAAGGGUGCGUAGGCGGCUUUGUAAGUCAGUGGUGAAAUCCUGUCGCUUAACGACAGAACUGCCAUUGAUACUGCAGAGCUUGAAUAUGUUUGAAGUGGGCGGAAUGUGUAGUGUAGCGGUGAAAUGCUUAGAUAUUAUACAGAACACCGAUUGCGAAGGCAGCUCACUAAACCAUUAUUGACGCCGAGGCACGAAAGUGUGGGGAUCAAACAGG
rnacentral:rRNA from 1 species